CUGCAAUAGCCUUCCUGAUAAUGUUCGAACGAACACGGGCACACUGCUUUCGUGGUAAAAGCAGUCUGUGUCUGUGAGCGCAACCAUAGUGACACACACACAAAUUUGAAUCUGCUCCACACUAUUUAGGAGGAUAGAGCCACUCAAUGUAAAGAGGGAUUGAUUUUUACGUGUGAGACACGGAUCAAAGCGCAGCGGGGAGAGCGUGUACGCAGGCUCUGUGUUGGCGUAAGAUCGCUCAGACCCAAGUGCUUAGUUCCCAAGCUUCGCCAUUUCUCUCUUCCGAGACUAGCUGAGAAAGGAGAACGUGAGAGCGGGGCUGUUCAGUGAAAAGCGGUCCACGAGUGGAGAAGAGAGAGACUCUGCUCGAGUGAGCAUUCUGUCUCAGUAAGCACGCAGCUCACUGCCCUUCUGUGGCAGAUCCAAGUGCAAUGGAGAGAGAGCAUGCAGGCACAAUGCCAGCAUGAGAUCAGUCAGACUGAUUGCUUAUUUCCUGACUCCACUGUUUAUCUAUCUGAGGCUCGCUGAGAGAGGAGAAACGGUCGGGCGAGGCUGUUUUCUGUGAAAGACGGUCCGCGAAUGGGAAAGAGCGAGAUUCAUGCUCUAGAGAGCAUUUCAUCUCAGUCACCGUAGCCACCAGAUCCAGUCUGUAUCCAAGUCAGAGGGUCACUGCAGUCACCCGGAUCCAGUACGUAUCCAGACCAGAUGGUGGAUCAGCACCUAGAAAGGACCUCUACAGCCCUGAAAGACAGCUGAGACCAGGACAACUAGAGCCCCAGAGACAGAUCCCCUGUAAAGACCUUGUCUCAGACGAUUCUUCUGCACAAUCUGACUUUGCUGCAGCCUGGAAUUGAACUGUUGGUUUCGUCUGGUCAGAGGAGAACUG
ensembl:lncRNA